GGCAGGCAAGGACAUGGCGAGUUGUCCGCGGUGGUGGCGCGGGCCGGCGUGCGCGUGCGACCGGCGCUGCUUGCCG
rnacentral:tRNA from 1 species